rnacentral:rRNA from 1 species
GGGGGGGGGGGGGGGGGGGCGGAGCACGGGCGAGUCGGGCGGGAGCGCAGGGAGAGCGUGCUCGUGCGGGGGGCGGGGGGCGGGGGGGGGGGGAGUACAGCGGAAGCUACUUUUUCGUGGGGGAGAACGUAGGGAGGCUUACGCUAAUACAGCCUACGACCUACGGGUGAGAGCAGGGGAUCGUCGGUCCUUGCGCGAUUGCAUGAGCCGAUGUGGGCUUAGCCAGGUGGCGGGGGAAAGGCCCACCAAGGCGACGCUCCGUAGCUGGUCUGCGCGGAUGAUCAGCCACACUGGAACUGAGACACGGUCAAGACUCCUACGGGAGGCAGCAGCGGGGAAGAGUGGAAAAUGGGCGCAAGCCUGAUCCAGCCACACCGAGUGGGUGAAGAAGGCCUUCGGGUUGUAAAGCCCUUCUGUUGGGAAAGAAAAGCAGCAGGUUAAUACCCCGCUGUUCUGACGGUACCCAAAGAAUAAGCACCGGCUAACUUCGUG